GACGAACGCUGGCGGCGUGCUUAACACAUGCAAGUCGAACGGAAAGGCCCUGCUUUUGUGGGGUGCUCGAGUGGCGAACGGGUGAGUAACACGCGAGUAACCUGCCCUUAACUUUGGGAUAACUUCAGGAAACUGGGGCUAAUACCGGAUAUGAUCUCCUGCUGCAUGGUGGGGGUUGGAAAGUUUCGGCGGUUGGGGAUGUACUCGCGGCUUAUCAGCUUGUUGGUGGGGUAGUGGCUUACCAAGGCUUGGACGGGUAGCCGGCCUGAGAGGGUGACCGGCCACAUUGGGACUGAGAUACGGCCCAGACUCCUACGGGAGGCAGCAGUGGGGAAUAUUGCACAAUGGGCGGAAGCCUGAUGCAGCAACGCCGCGUGCGGGAUGACGGCCUUCGGGUUGUAAACCGCUUUCGCCUGUGACGAAGCGUGAGUGACGGUAAUGGGUAAAGAAGCACCGGCUAACUACGUG
rnacentral:rRNA from 1 species